rnacentral:rRNA from 1 species
AUUGAACGCUGGCGGCAUGCCUUACACAUGCGAGUCGAACGGUAACAGGUCUUCGGAUGCUGACGAGUGGCGAACGGGUGAGUAAUACAUCGGAACGUGCCCGAUCGUGGGGGAUAACGAGGCGAAAGCUUUGCUAAUACCGCAUACGAUCUACGGAUGAAAGCGGGGGAUCUUCGGACCUCGCGCGGACGGAGCGGCCGAUGGCAGAUUAGGUAGUUGGUGGGAUAAAAGCUUACCAAGCCGACGAUCUGUAGCUGGUCUGAGAGGAUGAUCAGCCACACUGGGACUGAGACACGGCCCAGACUCCGACGGGAGGCAGCAGUGGGGAAUUUUGGACAAUGGGCGAAAGCCUGAUCCAGCCAUGCCGCGUGCAGGAUGAAGGCCUUCGGGUUGUAAACUGCUUUUGUACGGAACGAAAAGCCUCUUUCUAAUAAAGAGGGGUCAUGACGGUACCGUAAGAAUAAGCACCGGCUAACUACGUG